AUGGCGCACUUUUUGAUCUCGAUCUCGAUCCCACCCGCACCCUCCCCCGCUAGUUCCACCGCCGCCGACGACCCACCGCAACCCUCCCCCACUAGCUUCACCGUCGCCGACGACCCACCGCAACCCUCUCCCGCUGCGCCGCCGCCGUCCCCGUGCCCCCGCCGCCUCCCCCGCUCCGACGAGGUGCUCCGACAAGCAGGGCCAGCGCUAGGGUUCCAGCGCCACCGCCGGAUCAACGCCCCGCCUCCACAAGGAGAGGAGGAGCCCCGCCGCCGCCACCGAGGGGAAGAGGCCACCGCCGCCACCGAGGGAAGGAGCCCCGCCGCCACCGAGAGGAGGAACCUCGCCGCCAGGUCUUCAACGCCCCACCGCCGCAAGAACAUCGACGUCCUCCUCCGCUGGUUCGAGGUGAUUCCUACCUCUUCUCCACUUCUCCAUCUCCUCCCCUGCAAACCCUAG
rnacentral:rRNA from 1 species